rnacentral:rRNA from 4 species
AACUCUGGUAUUGAUUGGUGCUUGCAUCAUGAUUUACAUUUGAGUGAGUGGCGAACUGGUGAGUAACACGUGGGAAACCUGCCCAGAAGCGGGGGAUAACACCUGGAAACAGAUGCUAAUACCGCAUAACAACUUGGACCGCAUGGUCCGAGCUUGAAAGAUGGCUUCGGCUAUCACUUUUGGAUGGUCCCGCGGCGUAUUAGCUAGAUGGUGGGGUAACGGCUCACCAUGGCAAUGAUACGUAGCCGACCUGAGAGGGUAAUCGGCCACAUUGGGACUGAGACACGGCCCAAACUCCUACGGGAGGCAGCAGUAGGGAAUCUUCCACAAUGGACGAAAGUCUGAUGGAGCAACGCCGCGUGAGUGAAGAAGGGUUUCGGCUCGUAAAACUCUGUUGUUAAAGAAGAACAUAUCUGAGAGUAACUGUUCAGGUAUUGACGGUAUUUAACCAGAAAGCCACGGCUAACUACGUGCCAGCAGCCGCGGUAAUACGUAGGUGGCAAGCGUUGUCCGGAUUUAUUGGGCGUAAAGCGAGCGCAGGCGGUUUUUUAAGUCUGAUGUGAAAGCCUUCGGCUCAACCGAAGAAGUGCAUCGGAAACUGGGAAACUUGAGUGCAGAAGAGGACAGUGGAACUCCAUGUGUAGCGGUGAAAUGCGUAGAUAUAUGGAAGAACACCAGUGGCGAAGGCGGCUGUCUGGUCUGUAACUGACGCUGAGGCUCGAAAGUAUGGGUAGCAAACAGGAUUAGAUACCCUGGUAGUCCAUACCGUAAACGAUGAAUGCUAAGUGUUGGAGGGUUUCCGCCCUUCAGUGCUGCAGCUAACGCAUUAAGCAUUCCGCCUGGGGAGUACGGCCGCAAGGCUGAAACUCAAAGGAAUUGACGGGGGCCCGCACAAGCGGUGGAGCAUGUGGUUUAAUUCGAAGCUACGCGAAGAACCUUACCAGGUCUUGACAUACUAUGCAAAUCUAAGAGAUUAGACGUUCCCUUCGGGGACAUGGAUACAGGUGGUGCAUGGUUGUCGUCAGCUCGUGUCGUGAGAUGUUGGGUUAAGUCCCGCAACGAGCGCAACCCUUAUUAUCAGUUGCCAGCAUUAAGUUGGGCACUCUGGUGAGACUGCCGGUGACAAACCGGAGGAAGGUGGGGAUGACGUCAAAUCAUCAUGCCCCUUAUGACCUGGGCUACACACGUGCUACAAUGGAUGGUACAACGAGUUGCGAACUCGCGAGAGUAAGCUAAUCUCUUAAAGCCAUUCUCAGUUCGGAUUGUAGGCUGCAACUCGCCUACAUGAAGUCGGAAUCGCUAGUAAUCGCGGAUCAGCAUGCCGCGGUGAAUACGUUCCCGGGCCUUGUACACACCGCCCGUCACACCAUGAGAGUUUGUAACACCCAAAGUCGGUGG